GUGAGGUUAUUUUGGUUUACUAAGCACGGAGGGACAAGAAGGUAGGUCAUGUCGUUGUAGGAGACAUCGAUGUAGUUGAUCUUCUUGUGCGUGCAGAAGGUGGAGGGGAUGGAGCCCGUAAGGUGGUUGUUCUUGAGGUCCAGGUGCCGUAGGUUCUGGAUGUUAACCAGGGUGGAGGGUAUGUCGUUGCGGAGGUUGGCGUUGUUGAUGGUGAUCAACACG
rnacentral:lncRNA from 1 species